rnacentral:rRNA from 1 species
CGACGUAGGUAACCUGCCUGGUAGCGGGGGGUAACUAUUGGAAACGGUAGCUAAUACCGCAUAACAGUCGACAUUGCAUGAUGUUGAUUUGAAAGGGGCAAUUGCUCCACUACCAGAUGGACCUGCGUUGUAUUAGCUAGUUGGUGAGGUAACGGCUCACCAAGGCGACGAUACAUAGCCGACCUGAGAGGGUGAUCGGCCACACUGGGACUGAGACACGGCCCAG